CCUACGGGAGGCAGCAGUGAGGAAUAUUGGUCAAUGGACGAGAGUCUGAACCAGCCAAGUAGCGUGAAGGAUGACUGCCCUAUGGGUUGUAAACUUCUUUUAUAUGGGAAUAAAAUGUUCCACGUGUGGGAUUUUGUAUGUACCAUAUGAAUAAGGAUCGGCUAACUCCGUGCCAGCAGCCGCGGUAAUACGGUGGAUCCGAGCGUUAUCCGGAUUUAUUGGGUUUAAAGGGAGAGUAGGGGGAUUGUUAAGUCAGUUGUGAAAGUUUGCGGCUCAACCGCAAAAUUGCAGUUGAAACUGGCAGUCUUGAGUACAGGAGAGGUGUGCGGAAUUCGUGGUGUAGCGGUGAAAUGCUUAGAUAUCACGAAGAACUCCGAUUGCGAAGGCAGUUCACUGGACUGCAACUGACACUGAGGCACGAAAGUGUGGGUAUCAAACAGGAUUAGAUACCCUUGUAGUC
rnacentral:rRNA from 1 species